UACGUAGGGGCAAGCGUUGUCCGGAUUCAUUGGGCGUAAAGAGCGUGUAGGCGGCUAUUUAAGUCCUGCGUGAAAUCCUGCGGCUCAACCGCAGACGGUCGUGGGAAACUGGAUGGCUAGAGUGCGGGAGAGGAGAGUGGAAUUCCCGGUGUAGCGGUGAAAUGCGCAGAUAUCGGGAAGAACACCCGUGGCGAAGGCGGCUCUCUGGAACGCAACUGACGCUGAGACGCGAAAAGCGUGGGGAGCAAACAGG
rnacentral:rRNA from 1 species